rnacentral:misc_RNA from 1 species
AUUUGCUUAUAUUAUAUUGUGUUCGUGUGUGUAUAAUAUUUUUAGAAAUCAAUUGUAUUAGUAAUGGAAAAUAGUUUAUUUAAAGAGAAUAAGACAUUAUUAAACCCACCUUCAGUAGUACUUGUGCCGGAAAAUGUAUACAUGACUUCAAAAAAAAACCAUUCAUAUUUAAUACAUAUAAUUGUUCCAUUAAAUGAAGACAGCAAAAUAUGGUUACACAUCAAAAAACUAACACUUGAGUCCUUGUCUAAUAAUAAGAUAACGAUUUUCGAGGAAGCACAGUAUCCCGUUUCUCAAUUUCAAAAUAAUACAGUUUUAAAAAUUCCUGCUGGUUUGUACACGCUGACGAUACAUUAUAUGGAUAAAAAGCAGCAGCCGAUAUCAAGGAAUGUCUUGAAUCUUGAAACCAAUCGUAUUUACACAUAUAGAAAUGAACAUAAAAUUAAUUCUAAAUUACAAUCAAAUACAGUUGUGCAGACCCGCGUUUUAAGUAAAGAGUGGUUAUUACCUCAAUUCAUUUGUAUGACAUUCGGCGAGACAUUGUUUACCAUGACUGGAUUAUCAUUUUCUUUCUCAGAAACUCCCGAAUCGAUGAAAACCGUGUCAAUAUCAAUGUGGUAUUUUUGCGUAGCUCUCGGGAAUUUGAUUGUAAUUUUCAUCAACAAAUUUGUAGCGUUUGAAAAGAAAUGUGUUUUGAAACCAGUCCAACAUGUUCUUCAUGUUCGCUUUCAUUGCGGUUUUAACGAUAAUCGCCACCUGCAAAUGGAGUAACAAGUACGAAAAGUUAUAUCACGAAAAUAAAACAGACACGGAAAAUGAGAGCGAUAGUGAUAACGUCAAUUUAGUAAUGUUAUUAAAAAAGGAGAGUUAUCAACUAUCGUUUUGAAAACUAAGAGAUUAUAAUUUAAGACAAUUAUCAGCAAACAAUAUAUUGAGCCUAAAAUGUUAUAAUAUCAAAUUCUUCGAAAACGGCGAUAAUAAUGUAAAGAUCUUAAAUGCAUUUAAAUAUUUUUAUUUAGCUAUUACCUAUCUAUUGGUAUUGUGUUUGUUUAUAUAAUGUUAUAUAAUAUUUAAAAUAUUGUACAUUUUUAAUAUACCGUAUAAAAGCUUAGGUACACCAAAUUAUUGUUUGUUUAUUGUUGUUUAUUUCUUCAAAAAAAUAAUAGGCUCCACUUGAACGGGUUCGUGGGGGGGGGGGGAGUUCACAAUCUCCCUGAUCAUCCACAAUCAUGAGCUCACAAUUUACAAAAAUAUGUAUUAUAUUAAUAUUAAGUAUUUAAAAUAUACGCCUUAUUUUAGAUUCUGAGUGGAGCGAGGAAUGUAUUGGUUUUACCAUGAUGUUUAUUUCUUUUUUUAUUCUGUAAACACUUUUUCUCCUUGCUCAAAAGUUUCAAGUGUAGCAUCUUUUCUGAAAGGUAAUGUUCUUGAGCUAGUACUUUAAACAGGUCAUUUUUCGAUUUUCGAAACGGUACUCGAAAUAAAAGUACGAUUUCACGAUUUUAUAAUAUUAAAUAAUUACGGACGACGUUUUCUACCAGAAAUAUUGCUUCAAAUGAAAAAUGACCAGGAGCGGAUAGGCC